rnacentral:rRNA from 1 species
UACGGGGGGUGCGAGCGUUGUCCGGAAUCACUGGGCGUAAAGGGCGCGUAGGUGGUGGCUUAAGCGUGCGGUGAAAGCUCGGGGCUCAACUCCGAGUCGGCCGUGCGAACUGGGCUCACUGGAGCAUAGUAGAGGCAGGUGGAAUUCCGGGUGUAGCGGUGGAAUGCGUAGAGAUCCGGAAGAACACCGGUGGCGAAGGCGGCCUGCUGGGCUAUGGCUGACACUGAGGCGCGACAGCGUGGGGAGCAAACAGGG